UGGGGCUGGACAGGAACUGAAGGAAAGGGUGAGGGACAGUAAAGCUCCAGUGGCCAGCUUGGUGGCCAGACAGCAUAAGUUCUGAAAAGUCAUGAGACCCUGCUUGUGUGGGAUGUAUAUGUUUAAGGGUGAUGAAAGGGCAGAGCUGGGGUCACUGAAGGGAUUGACUAGAAGGGGAAGGCAGGAACAGGAUCCUAAAGGUCCAGGUCAUACUGGAGUGUGCACUAAAAUGAUGGUGGUACUUCCCUGGGAGAAGUCCUAUAAGUAGUCUAAGCUAUCGCAUGUGUCACGAUCACAUUCUGAAGUAUUGAUCUUCUGAGCGCUGUUGUCUCUUAGCUCAUGCCAUAAAGAGGAAAUGAAUGCUCAGUCACUUCAGUCAUCUCUGACUCUUUGAGACCCCAUGGACUGUGGCCCACCAGGCUCCUCUGUCCAAGGGGUUCUCCAGGCAAGAAUACUGGUGUGGUUUGCCAUGCCUACCUCAAGGGGGUCUUCCUGACCCAGGAAUCGAACCUGCGUCCCCUGCAUUGCAGCUGGAUUCUUUACCCACUGAACCACCUGAGAAGCCCCACGAAGAGGAAAUGCUGCUGCUAAGUCACUUCAGUCGUGUCCAACUCUGUGCGACCCCAUAGACGGCAGCCCACCAGGCUCCCCCAUCCCUGGGAUUCUCCAGGCAAGAAUACUGGAGUGGGUUGCCAUUUCCUUCUCCAAUGCAUGAAAGUAAAAAGUGAAAGUGAAGUUGCUCAGUCGUGUCCAACUCUUAGCGACCCCAUGGACUGCAGCCCACCAGGCUCCUCCGUCCAUUGGAUUUUCCAGGUGGAGGCAGAACUGCUUGAAUACUUCAAAUCAGAGGACAAGUCAUCAUGGGCCCCUGUCCUCAGAGGAAUAUGGAUGAUCUUCUCCCAGUGGGAUCAUUUGUGCUUACCUUGGAAAGACGAGUCUAAUCUGGAGGAGAGAUGUCCAGAGUGAGACAGGAGGGACACAGUUCACCCAGCUGAGGAACUUCGGAAACAGGUCUCUUGGGAGGAGCAAAAACUAGGUGAAGCAGAGAGCACCUGGGGGGCGUUGUAGGUAAUAUGGCCAGAGGUUCAGUAUAGAAACUGGCUGUGGGUGUUUGGAGCUACUGGAGGCCCUGAAUUCCUCAUCUGGCAAGAAGAUCUGCCCUUGAGGAACAUGGGAAUGGGAAUGGGAGAGCCCAAGGGAGAAUAGGGACUGAAUGUGCAAAUGUUGUGGGGUAGGAUCUGUGGAAGAGCUCCAGAGGGAGCAGAGGUGCUUGGAAGGAGAGGACCUGUCUGCCAAUCUCCUUCCUUCAAGUGCCCAUGUCUGCUCUUACACCCGAAGGCAUCCUUCCUGAGCCUUUCCAUGGGCAUAAGUUUAGAGGUCCAUCCUCCUGGCUCCUAAAAGGCUCAUGCUGACUCAGGAACACACACACACACACACAAAAUGUUGUCCCCAGCACAAAUUGUGUCUACUUCUCCACUUAAACAGGUCUUGUUGAUAUUUACAACUGCUGAAAUCCUACAACACCGGACUUAAUUACUGAGUGUCUUCUGAAUACCAAAUGAUGAGCACAUACCAGCCUGUGUGCUGGGUGGAGGAGGUGGCAGGUGGCAGGCCUUGUGGGUUUCAGUCUGAUGCUCCCAUAGGUGUCAGUGGCUGAAUCACCGCCCUCACUCCUUACCCCACAUUCUCUGGAAAUUCACCUUCUGAAACUGUCCUCUCUUCACUACACACUUGGGCCCAGCACGUCCAUCCUGCGUGUUUUAGAUUCCAUCACCUUUUUUUUUCUUUUGGGGGAACUUUAAUUCUACUGAUUAAAAAUAUUUUUUUGAAAUUAUUUCGAGUGAGGUUGGAGUCAUACAGCACAUGUAUGCAGGAUGCAUUGGUAUUUUAGGUGGAUUCCCUGCUGUGUGUCAUCACUGAGACCUCAUGGUUCAACCAGGGUUUCUACAAAUACGGGGGAUAUUCCCUCUCUUUCUCUCCAAGGUUUGCCCCCACACAAACCAC
ensembl:lncRNA